rnacentral:rRNA from 1 species
UGAGGUAGAUAGGUCCGGGGUGGAAGCGUGGCGACACGUGCAGCUGACGGAUACUAAUCGAUCGAGGACUUAACCUAAA